rnacentral:tRNA from 1 species
GGAGAGGUGCCGGAGCGGUUGAACGGGCCGGUCUCGAAAACCGGUGAGGACCUCGUGUUCUCCGUGGGUUCGAAUCCCACCCUCUCCG